UGGGUAGUCCGCACGAGCGCACCCUACUUUUAGUUGCUACCAUUUAGUUGGGCACUCUAAAAGAACUGCCAGUGAUAAGCUGGAGGAAGGCGGGGACGACGUCAAGUCCUCAUGGCCCUUACGUGUUGGGCUACACACGUGCUACAAUGGUACUUACAGUGAGAUGCGAAGAGGCGACUCUAAGCCAAUCCCCAAAAAGUACCUCAGUUCGGAUUGUACUCUGCAACUCGAGUACAUGAAGCUGGAAUUACUAGUAAUCGUGGAUCAGCGCGCCACGGUGAAUACGUUCCCGGGUCUUGUACACACCGCCCGUCACACCAUGGAAGUUGGUUACACCUUAAGGCAAAGCAUAAAACCUUUGACUACGGUACGAUCAGCGACUGGGGUGAAGUCGUAACAAGGUAGCCGUAGGGGAACCUGCGGCUGGAUCACCUCCUUUCU
rnacentral:rRNA from 1 species